rnacentral:lncRNA from 1 species
UUUUGAAUCCAUGACUCUGAGUACCCUGUCUAGAACCCAGUCGAUGGUUGCGUAGUACGGACUCCCGAGGUGAAUACUUCGUAAGAGUCGGUACGAGAACCUCACCCAGAAUAGAUUCCCUUGAUGGAGUUGACGACCAGAAAGUAUUUCCCGUAAGCGUCAAACAUUCUUGUGAGUUAAUGACUCUGGGGAUCCUUUGUAACAAAGCCCUAGAUCAUACCCGGUGAGAACCCCGUUUUGGAAAAGCA